rfam:Triticum aestivum genome assembly, contig: Triticum_aestivum_CS42_TGACv1_scaffold_332650_4BS
AAUAUACUCGUCCGUCCAAAAUUACUUGUCAUCAAAAUGAAUAAAAAUGGAUGUAUCUAAAACUAAAAUACAUCUAGAUACAUCCAUUUGAAUGACAAGUAUUUCCGGACGGAGGGAGUAUAUG